rnacentral:lncRNA from 1 species
CAAAGGUCACGUGAGUUCAAUGGUGGGCACGGUAGAUCCUAUGGAGCAAUUUCAGUAAAGCACCAUUUGCGCAGAAAUUCAACGGUUAAAGAGGACCACAGUCCGACAUCUAAACGGCUGUCUGGUGUAAACAUCGAAUUCUGUAGACCAAAAAUCAUUCAUUAUGUACCAAAAAUCAUCAGUGGUGGUUACAUAGACGUUUGGCACCAGCCUUGGCCAAAAGUCAUGCGUUUCGCCAGAUUUAGGUCCGAUAGAGCAAAUUUUGCAUCAGAUUUGACAUGGUUUAGACGAUGAAAACCACCACCAAUAUCAUAAAGUCAGCUUGAGUUUGCUUUACAGGACAAGUGGAAUAACAUUCCUCGAGAUCACAUUAAACGUCCGGGAUGAUCAAUUCCACGGCGCUGUCGAGAUUGCGCUGCACAACGGGGUUGUAACAUUUUUAGUUAGGACUGUGAUUUGAUGAUUCGACAUUGGAUGUUUCGUUUAUCUAUUGCGCCCGAAAG